GGCCCCUUAGCUCAGUGGUCAGAGCAAGCGACUCAUAAUCGUUUGGUCCCCCGUUCAAAUCGGGGAGGGGCCA
rnacentral:tRNA from 1 species